UACGGUGGGAGCAAGCGUUGUUCGGAUUUACUGGGCGUAAAGGGCGCGUAGGCGGCGCAACAAGUCACUUGUGAAAUCUCCGGGCUUAACCCGGAGCGGCCAAGUGAUACUGUCGUGCUAGAGUGCGGAAGGGGCUACUGGAAUUCUCGGUGUAGCGGUGAAAUGCGUAGAUAUCGAGAGGAACACCUGCGGCGAAGGCGGGUAGCUGGGCCGACACUGACGCUGAGGCGCGAAAGCCAGGGGAGCGAACGGG
rnacentral:rRNA from 1 species